rnacentral:pre_miRNA from 1 species
GGGGAGCGCAGGAUCCUGGGCUGUGUCCCCGGCGCCCUGGGCUCCAGGGCCUGCGCCGCGGGAAUCGCGCUCCCGGGUGCGCAGCUCCCU